ensembl:lncRNA
GUCAUGUAUUUCACGUAUGUGUAUAACUUAUUAGUCUUGCAGAUCUGACAUAACGCCGCAGUGAAAAAGCAGGAGGGGAGGCAGCCAGUACCUCUGCCUUACUGAAGGGGGCGUGUGUGAGCAUACGGGCUUGUUCUGCUAUUGUUCUUCUUCAUGUAUUACAGACAAAUGGCAUUCAAAAAUGGAAGAUUAUAUAUAUAAGUGACAACGAGUGACAAUGUCUGGACUACAACUGGAUUUUGUGACUUGAAAAAUAUACCAAGAAACCUCAGCAGACAUGAAAGUUCAACUACUCACAUUCAAAGUCAAAUUGAUUGAAAAACUUUUGGAAGCGCAAGGAUAGAUUUGGCUUUGAACAAACAGUGGAGACUAAAUAUUAGCGUCCACAAUGCUAAGGUGUUCACGGAAGAUGCGGGUCUUUAUCUGCUUUUUGAACAUGGUGAGAGAUUCUGCGGUCCGGAUUGAGGCGCCACGCUGAGUGGGAACUACUAAACGUCAGUCGCUAAUCGAUCACAGAUUGUGUGAGGCAGCUACAGGAAGCCAGUGGAGGGGGAUGAAGAGGGCUGUGACAUGGGUUCUCUUUGGCUGGUUGAAGAUGAGGCGUGCUGCAGCAUUCUGAAUCAUCUGAAGAGGUUUGAUGGAGCUGGCUGGGAGGCCUGAAAGUAGUCAGUUGCAGUAGUCCAGUUUUGAGAUAACAAGAGCCUGGACUAAUGAGUCCAGGCUAGAUGAUGUGAGUAAUGACAGACGAGUAAAGGUAAGACCAUGCAUACACUGCUGUACAGUCCAUGACAAAAAUAAAAGACCAGCCCCUUUUUUAAUAAUAACUAAAAAAAUGAUAUAAAACAAGAUAAGAAAAAAAUUGUUAUUUUAAAGAAUAAAACUACAUUUGUCUUUUUGUUGUGGACAGUAUAUUCUUUCAUUUGUAUUGAAUGAGUUUGAAUUGUGGAAUUGUGAUGGCAAAUUAAGAACACAUGGAGGGCGCAGAGCAAAUGUGCUCUCUCUGAGCCGCUAUAAAUUUAACGUUCUUCUUUGGCCAAAUAUGUACCUUACCUAUGUGUGUGUAAAGUAGUCAAUGUGCAAGCAGCCAGUUGAAUGGUGAAUUUAUUCUACUCUGUUGAAUUCAUAUAUUUGUAAAUCUAACUUUGAAAGAGUCAGUGCCUCCCCAGCCACGAACCUCACCGCACGUCACUGGCAGUAAUGGUGAAUAGAAACAAAAAUCUUACAUGCCCAUAUGCAUAGGAUUAUUUGCUUGCUGUCAAAUUCCAUAAAAAGUGCAUAUGAAUAUAUGUUAAAAUAUGAAUUAGCCCAUCCAUUUACACUUCCAUAAACAGAGCAAACAUUAGCUGUUUGUAUUGCCUAAACCCUCAAAGGUAAAAAAAAAAAAAAAAAAGAAAAAGAGAAGUUGACUUAAAAUACUAAAAACAUGCUGCACAGCUUUUUUUUUAGUUUACACAACUUUAAAAAUUACUUUUUUACUUUACUUUGUUAAGUGAACUACUUUGGUUAAAAGUUGAGUAAACUCAAAAAAGCUGUGCAGCAAGUUGUAAAAAUUGUCACCUGGAAAUCACAAGGAGGCAGUAUGAAUUUUUAUUUCAACUUUAAUAUAUUUUUGUAUGAAUUUUCAACUUUAAUGC